UUCUUUGGUUAUCUAGCUGUAUGAGUAGCUGUCACAACCAUCAUAAAGCUAGGUUACCAAAGUU
rnacentral:pre_miRNA from 1 species